AAUGAACGCUGGCGGCGUGCUUAACACAUGCAAGUCGCACGAGAACGCUUCAGCUUGCUGAAGCAAGUAAAGUGGCGCACGGGUGAGUAACGCGUGGGUAAUCUACCCUUGAAUUGGGGAUAACCCGCCGAAAGGCGGGCUAAUACCGAAUGACAUCUUGAAAACUUAUGCUUUCAGGAUCAAAGGUGGCCUCUACAUGUAAGCUAUUGUUUGGGGAUGAGCCCGCGUACCAUUAGCUUGUUGGUAGGGUAAUGGCCUACCAAGGCUACGAUGGUUAGCUGGUCUGAGAGGAUGAUCAGCCACACUGGAACUGACACACGGUCCAGACUCCUACGGGAGGCAGCAGUGAGGAAUUUUGCGCAAUGGGGGAAACCCUGACGCAGCAACGCCGCGUGAGUGAUGAAGGCUUUCGGGUCGUAAAGCUCUGUCAAGUGGGAAGAAACCAUAUAGUAUUAAUACUGCUAUAUGUUGACGGUACCACUGAAGGAAGCACCGGCUAACUCCGUG
rnacentral:rRNA from 1 species